AGGUGGCAAGCGUUGCUCGGAAUCACUGGGCGUAAAGCGCGCGUAGGCGGUUACUUAAGUCGGGUGUGAAAGCCCUCGGCUUAACUGAGGAAGUGCACCCGAAACUGAGUAGCUAGAGUACUAAAGAGGGUCGCGGAAUUCCCGGUGUAGAGGUGAAAUUCGUAGAUAUCGGGAGGAACACCGGUGGCGAAGGCGGCGACCUGGGUAGAGACUGACGCUGAGGCGCGAAAGCGUGGGGAGCAAACAGG
rnacentral:rRNA from 1 species